GACGAACGCUGGCGGCGGGCUUAACACAUGCAAGUCGAACGGAAAGGCCCUGCUUUUGUGGGGUGCUCGAGUGGCGAACGGGUGAGUAACACGUGAGUAACCUGCCCUUGACUUUGGGAUAACUUCAGGAAACUGGGGCUAAUACCGGAUAGGAGCUCCUGCUGCAGGGUGGGGGUUGGAAAGUUUCGGCGGGUGGGGAUGGAGUCGCGGCUUAUCAGCUUGUUGGUGGGGGAGUGGCUUACCAAGGCUUUGACGGGUAGCCGGCCUGAGAGGGUGACCGGCCACAGUGGGACUGGGAUACGGCCCAGACGCCUACGGGAGGCAGCAGUGGGGAAUAUUGCACAAUGGGCGGAAGCCUGAUGCAGGAACGCCGCGUGCGGGAGGACGGCAUUCGGGUUGUAAACCGCUUUCGCCUGUGACGAAGCGUGAGUGACGGUAAUGGGUAAAGAAGCACCGGCUAACUACGU
rnacentral:rRNA from 1 species